rnacentral:rRNA from 1 species
GACGAACGCUGGCGGCGUGCUUAACACAUGCAAGUCGAACGGUAAGGCCUUCGGGUACACGAGUGGCGAACGGGGGAGUAACACGUGGGUGAUCCGCCCUGCACUUCGGGAUAAGCCUGGGAAACUGGGCCUAAUACCGGAAAGGACUCCUGGCUUCACGGGUGGGGGUGGACAGCUUUUGCGGUGUGGGAUGGGCCCGCGGCCUAUCAGCUUGUUGGUGGGGUAAUGGCCUACCAAGGCGACGACGGGUAGCCGGCCUGAGAGGGUGUCCGGCCACACUGGGACUGAGAUACGGCCCAGACUCCUACGGGAGGCAGCAGUGGGGAAUAUUGCACAAUGGGCGCAAGCCUGAUGCAGCGACGCCGCGUGGGGGAUGACGGCCUUCGGGUUGUAAACCUCUUUCAGUGGGGACGAAGCGCAAGUGACGGUACCUACAGAAGAAGCACCGGCCAACUACGUGCCAGCAGCCGCCGUAA